rnacentral:rRNA from 1 species
AGAGUUUGAUCCUGGCUCAGGACGAACGCUGGCGGCGUGCCUAACACAUGCAAGUCGAGCGGGGAUAUACGGAAGGUUUACCGGAAGUAUAUCCUAGCGGCGGACGGGUGAGUAACGCGUGGGUAACCUACCUCAUACAGGGGGAUAACACAGGGAAACCUGUGCUAAUACCGCAUAACAUAACGGGGCGGCAUCGUCCUGUUAUCAAAGGAGAAAUCCGGUAUGAGAUGGGCCCGCGUCCGAUUAGCUGGUUGGUGAGGUAACGGCUCACCAAGGCGACGAUCGGUAGCCGAACUGAGAGGUUGGUCGGCCACAUUGGGACUGAGACACGGCCCAGACUCCUACGGGAGGCAGCAGUGGGGAAUAUUGCGCAAUGGGGGAAACCCUGACGCAGCAACGCCGCGUGAAGGAAGAAGGCCUUCGGGUUGUAAACUUCUUUGAUUGGGGACGAAGGAAGUGACGGUACCCAAAGAACAAGCCACGGCUAACUACGUGCCAGCAGCCGCGGUAAUACGUAGGUGGCGAGCGUUGUCCGGAAUUACUGGGUGUAAAGGGCGCGUAGGCGGGGAUGCAAGUCAGAUGUGAAAUUCCGGGGCUUAACCCCGGCGCUGCAUCUGAAACUGUAUCUCUUGAGUGCUGGAGAGGAAAGCGGAAUUCCUAGUGUAGCGGUGAAAUGCGUAGAUAUUAGGAGGAACACCAGUGGCGAAGGCGGCUUUCUGGACAGUAACUGACGCUGAGGCGCGAAAGCGUGGGGGAGCAAACAGGAUUAGAUACCCUGGUAGUCCACGCCGUAAACGAUGGAUACUAGGUGUAGGAGGUAUCGACCCCUUCUGUGCCGGAGUUAACACAAUAAGUAUCCCACCUGGGGAGUACGGCCGCAAGGUUGAAACUUAAAUGAAUUGACGG